rnacentral:rRNA from 1 species
AAGGCGAGGAAAGAAACUAACAAGGAUUCCCCUAGUAACGGCGAGUGAAGCGGGAAAAGCUCAAAUUUAAAAUCUGGCAACUUUGUUGUCCGAGUUGUAGUCUAGAGAAGUGCUUUCUGUGCUGGACCAUGUACAAGUCUCUUGGAACAGAGCGUCAUAGAGGGUGAGAAUCCCGUCUUUGACAUGGACUACCAGUGCUAUAUGAUGCGCUCUCAAAGAGUCGAGUUGUUUGGGAAUGCAGCUCAAAAUGGGUGGUAAAUUCCAUCUAAAGCUAAAUACAGGCGAGAGACCGAUAGCGAACAAGUACCGUGAGGGAAAGAUGAAAAGCACUUUGGAAAGAGAGUAAAACAGUACGUGAAAUUGUUGAAAGGGAAACGCUUGAAGUCAGUCGUGUCUGCGGGAACUCAGCUGGGCUUUUGCCCAGUGCAUUUUCCYGUUGACAGGCCAACAUCAAUUUUGGUUGGCAGACAAAGGCCAGAGAAAUGUGGCAGCUUCGGCUGUGUUUAUAGUCUCUGGUUGUAUGUGUCAGCUGGGAUUGAGGAAUCCGGUAUGCAAGUACCUGGGAUGUUGGCGUAAUGGCUUUAAACGACCCGUCUUGAAACACGGACCAAGGAGUGUAACAUGCUCGCGAGUGUUUGGGUGGUAAACCCGAGCGCGCAAUGAAAGUGAAAGUUGAGAUCUCCCUUGUGGAGAGCAUCGACGCCCGAGCCUGAUGUUUUCGGACGGCCUCGCGGUGGAGCGAGUAUGUUGCGACCCGAAAGAUGGUGAACUAUUCCUGAGGAGGGCGAAGCCAGAGGAAACUCUGGUGGAGGCUCGUAGCGUUUCUGACGUGCAAAUCGAUCGCAGGACUUGGGUAUAGGGGCGAAAGACUAAUCGAACCAUCUAGUAGC